AGAGUUUGAUCCUGGCUCAGAACGAACGCUGGCGGCAGGCCUAACACAUGCAAGUCGAGCGCUACCUUCGGGUGGAGCGGCGGACGGGUUAGUAACGCGUGGGAACAUACCCUUUUCUACGGAAUAGCCUCGGGAAACUGAGAGUAAUACCUUAUACGCCCUACGGGGGAAAGAUUUAUCGGAGAAGGAUUAGCCCGCGUUAGAUUAGGUAGUUGGUGGGGUAAUGGCCUACCAAGCCUACGAUCUAUAGCUGGUUUGAGAGGAUGAUCAGCCACACUGGGACUGAGACACGGCCCAGACUCCUACGGGAGGCAGCAGUGGGGAAUCUUAGACAAUGGGCGCAAGCCUGAUCCAGCCAUGCCGCGUGUGUGAUGAAGGCCUUAGGGUCGUAAAGCACUUUCGCCAGGGAUGAUAAUGACAGUACCUGGUAAAGAAACCCCGGCUAACUCCGUGCCAGCAGCCGCGGUAAUACGGAGGGGGUUAGCGUUGUUCGGAAUUACUGGGCGUAAAGCGCACGUAGGCGGAUUAGUAAGUUAGAGGUGAAAUCCCAGGGCUCAACCCUGGAACUGCCUUUAAUACUGCUAGUCUUGAGUUCGAGAGAGGUAAGUGGAAUUCCGAGUGUAGAGGUGAAAUUCGUAGAUAUUCGGAGGAACACCAGUGGCGAAGGCGGCUUACUGGCUCGAUACUGACGCUGAGGUGCGAAAGUGUGGGGAGCAAACAGGAUUAGAUACCCUGGUAGUCCCUGUAUGUUAUACACAUCUGACGCUGCCGACGAUCUGACGCGUGUAGAUUGCGCGAGAGGUGGUAUCAGAACUAACAUGAGAAGAUAAAGGUAGAAUGCGU
rnacentral:rRNA from 1 species